rnacentral:rRNA from 1 species
GGCGGCAGGCUUAACACAUGCAAGUCAAACGGGUGUAGCAAUACACUAGUGGCGCAAGGGUGAGAAACGCGUGGGAAUUUGCCUUUCAGUACGGAAUAACGUCGGGAAACUGACGCUAAUACCGUAUGGUCCCUUCGGGGCAAAGAUUUAUCGCUGAAAGAUGAGCCCGCGUCAGAUUAGCUAGUUGGUGGGGUAACGGCCUACCAAGGCAACGAUCUGUAGCUGGUCUUAGAGGACGAUCAGCCACACUGGAACUGAGACACGGUCCAGACUCCUACGGGAGGCAGCAGUGGGGAAUAUUGGACAAUGGGCGCAAGCCUGAUCCAGCCAUGCCGCGUGAGUGAUGAAGGCCUUCGGGUUGUAAAGCUCUUUUGUCAGGGAAGAUGAUGACGGUACCUGAAGAAUAAGCCCCGGCUAACUUCGUGCCAGCAGCCGCGGUAAUACGAAGGGGGCUAGCGUUGUUCGGAAUUACUGGGCGUAAAGGGUGUGUAGGUGGUUCAGUACGUCAGAA